AUACCNUGGUAGUCCACGCCCUAAACGAUGCAGACUUGGUGUUGGCCCUUCAUUGGGUCAGUGCCGAAGCUAACNCGGUAAGUCUGCCGCCUGGGGAGUACGGUNGCAAGGCUGAAACUCAAAGGAAUUGACGGGGGCCCGCACAAGCGGUGGAGCAUGUGGUUUAAUUCGACGCAACGCGAAGAACCUUACCUGGGCUCGAACGGCUGGUCAACGACGGUGGAAACAUCGUUACUCCGCAAGGGGGUCCAGUCGAGGUGCUGCAUGGCUGUCGUCAGCUCGUGUCGUGAGAUGUUGGGUUAAGUCCCGCAACGAGCGCAACCCUUACCCGUAGUUGCCAGCGCGUCAUGGCGGGAACUCUACGGGGACUGCCCGGGUUAACCGGGAGGAAGGUGGGGAUGAUGUCAAGUCCUCAUGGCCCUUAUGUCCAGGGCUACACACGUGCUACAAUGGGCGAUACAAACCGUUGCAAAGUCGCGAGAUGGAGCUAAUCGGAGAAAGUCGUCCUCAGUUCGGAUUGUAGUCUGCAACUCGACUACAUGAAGGUGGAAUCGCUAGUAAUCGUGUAUCAGAAUGAUACG
rnacentral:rRNA from 1 species